rnacentral:rRNA from 1 species
UACGUAGGGGGCUAGCGUUGUCCGGAAUCAUUGGGCGUAAAGCGCGCGUAGGCGGCCCGAUAAGUCCGCUGUGAAAGUCAACGGCUCAACUGUUGGAUGCCGGUGGAUACUGUCGGGCUAGAGUACGGAAGAGGCAAGUGGAAUUCCUGGUGUAGCGGUGGAAUGCGCAGAUAUCAGGAGGAACACCUAUAGCGAAGGCAGCUUGCUGGGACGUUACUGACGCUAAGGCGCGAAAGCGUGGGGAGCGAACGAGG